UAAAACAGAAAUCCUAAAAAACACUAAUGCGAAUGUUAGAGCUGUGAGUAUAGUCUAGAGGAUGUUCUAAUGUGUUUCAUUAGGAUCACAGAAGAUACGCUUCCAUUGUCACAACUAUCAAUCUCUUGUGAGGAUUUUAUGCUCUGCAUGUAAGUGUCAACAUUUGGAGCUGUUCUUGGCAUGGUCACAGAUAGGAGAAUCAAAUGGUCUUCAGGUUUCUUCUGUUUUUCUUGUCAGCCUCGGAUUUCUACUAUCAAGAACGCGCGAGUAGGAACAUAGAGCACUUGGGGGAAAACAGAACUUCACCAGCAAGAAGAUUUCCUCUGAGACUGCCAUGUGUUGUUCUCUUUUUCCUACAACAGAGAUACAUAUAUCUGGCUAGUUUCCUGGAAAGCUUUGUCUCCAAAAUUUCCAUUACAAAAUCACAGAGGGAAAUGAAUCGUUUUUCUUCACCACUUAAUUUUUCAGAGGAUUCUACUAAUUAAAGCUAGUGUAAGGCUUUCUGUUUGCACAUAUCUUUUGGGUUAUUAGCAUGAGAAGGGGGUCUUUUUUAACAGGGUACAAGGGAAUUCCUUCCAGAAGAAGGCAACACUAUUACUUAAGUUGUGGAAGUAAAAACUUAGUUAAAAUGCUUACUGGGGAUCAGUCUAGCAAUAUGUGGAAACCGAGGACCAAGGCAACGGCUGAUGCUUUAGCAUCCUUGAGGAUAUAUCUUGGAGGAUAACAAGGUAGCUCAACAAUUAUCCUUUCAUACCGUAAGUUUAUAGUUAUAUGAAAUGUUUUCCUUUCUUUGUCUUGUUUUCCUUGUUGCUUCCUUUUGGCUUUUCUAUUCUCAUUAUAGAGAUUGUGCUUUUCCAAGGAUAGAAGGUGAUACCAAUAUUUCUCAUUAAUUUCUCUUUUGUAUUUUUUUUGUUGGCACGAAGGCCUUAUUCUGUAAUAUUGGCCUCUUUUGAACUGUGGACUACAUCUGGUUAAUUUCCAUUAGAUUUGACUUGGCUAUUUAUUUUGUUCGUCGUUCUUUUACUGAUUUUUAUGUGAUUUGUCUUCAGAUAAGUUUCACUUGUUUGGCUUCUAAGCAAGCUGCUUGGGUUGAUUUAUUUGUUUUAUCUCUUGGCUAUAUAUAGCUUGUUGAUGAUUCUUAGAUACGUAUAGAAAUUGAUGUUCCAAGAUUUAUGUUCUGUAGAGAGAUGCUAUGAUGUUGAAGGUUUUCGUGAUUUAAUUUUUCUCCGGCUCUUGAUUAUGUGGGUACACUUCUUUUUGUGAGUUUCUCUUUCUUCUACCGUUCAAGCCUUUUUCAUGCAUUUCCCGGAGGGUCUCUUUGGCAUAAUUUUCGAGUAGAAGAUUUAGCUUGUAUGAAUCAUUGAACCACUAAUACAAACCCUUGAUUAUUCGGGUGUAUUUCUGUUUCCUAGUGCUAUGGUCAUCCUCUUUAUUCAAAAAUUAUAUGCUCUAGCUAGAAGAUAACAGAGGUUCCAACAGAAAACUGCAUGGGGUUCCUACUUAGUCUCCUGAGAUGGCUUUAUUAUCAUGCGGGCUUCAUCAUUUCCUAAGGUUUAAGUUGUAAUCAUAGUCUUCUUUUUGUUUAUAUGUUUAAUUUACGUCAUUAGAGAUAUGCUAAAGAUGCAAAAGCAUGCAAGCUCCACUAUGAUUAAUCCUUAUUAUGCAUACCCCUUAGACGGUUACUCCGUGCUUUGAUACUUAAUCCGAGCUGACGUUGAUGAUGUGUUGUUGCCUUAUCUAUCUAUCCCAGAUCUAUGUUUAAGAUCAUGGUAAGUUUGUUUUGUUAUAGAUCAUUGGUUUCGUCAGGGUAUGACCUUCUCGUUUAUUCUAUUUGCUAAAUAUUGUUGGAAAAUCCAACAAACACAUGGAAUCGAAAAUUGCUGAUGAUCGAGUAUUCCCUUGGAAUUAUAGUACAGUUUUAAAGAUGACAACAUGAUGUUCAAGCUGAUGCAGCUAUCUUGACGAGGUAGGAGUGACGUGCUAUGUCAUGACCGCUUCUUCUUGUUGGAUGCUUCUCUGACUCAUGGAAGGCAGAGUGUGUGUUGCUUGUUUCUUCUUCCCUUCUUUUGGAUGGAAAAGCAAUAUAUUAUUCCUUGUAAAGGUGCUCUUAGUUUUUGAUCCAUCAUCAUACAUAUAUUUUUUUUAGUGAAUCUCAUAUGUUAUAGCUUCGUUUAGGUUUUAAGAGAGUAAACAAACAAAAUUUUACACUUGUUUCGCUUUGAUUGUUUGAUUGAUCACUGCUUAUGACAUCUUGGGCUUGGUUUUUUUUUUUUUGUGUUUGAGAUUGCUUCUUGUUUUUUCUGAAUAUCUCAUCUAUGUAUAUAGGUCUGUGAAACGAUGCAAAGUGGCAACAUUGACGUAGUUCUCCGGGCUAUCAGUUUCUCAUUUUGGCUUUCCUAACUUACUAUUAUAUGAGGUUGUAUCUUUUGCAGGGUUUAAGUUGAUUUUGUUGGCAUAUUUUAUGAAUUAUAGCUCUCUUUAUCAUAUAUAUCUAGAGGACGCUGAAGUAGUUCUUUCCACACUUGUUCGUCUUCAUGCUUUUACUAAUCUUCCUAGUGUUGUUGGCUUCUCUGUUUGUUGCAAUCUACUAUGUUUUGUCAUAGAUUCUUGAGGUUAUAAUAGAAAAGCAUUGGUCUA